UCUCUGGUAGUUUAAGAAGAAUGCGAGAUUGCAAAUCUUGGGGUGAAUGUUUUCCUGGGGAU
rnacentral:tRNA from 2 species